CAAUAGCGUAUAUUAAAGUUGUUGCAGUUAAAAAGCUCGUAGUUGGAUUUGUGGUGUGUCCAGUCGGCCUUUGCUCUCUGAGUGAUUGUGCUGAACUGGUCUGCCAUGUUUGGGUGGAAUCUGUGUGGCAUUAAGUUGUCGUGCAGGGGAUGCCCAUCGUUUACUGUGAAAAAAUUAGAGUGUUCAAAGCAGGCUUAUGCCGUUGAAUAUAUUAGCAUGGAAUAAUGAUAUAGGACCUUGGUACUAUUUUGUUGGUUUGCGCACUAAGGUAAUGAUUAAGAGGGACAGAUGGGGGUAUUUGUAUUCCAUUGUCAGAGGUGAAAUUCUUAGAUUUUUGGAAGACAAACUACUGCGAAAGCAUUUACCAAGGAUGUUUUCAUUAA
rnacentral:rRNA from 1 species